CAGGCAACAGAUCCCUGAAGGACAGCCCGCUCCGAGAAUCGGGGACUUGGCAGCAACUAGCCUGAGAAGGACAGACCGCAGGGGCUGAAACCUCGAGGGAGAAGCUCUCUGCAGCGCUCGGGUCUAGUAGUCAGACAUAAGCAAGCAGGUGAAAGGGCCGAUUAGGGGCCUGGCAUGAAAGAAGGAGAGGCAGCACCAGGGAGCCGAGGCAAGGCUGGUCUGGGAGCCAAAGAGGAGGGACAAGGCACACUCCUGACAAACACCCGCGGGCAAAGCUUUGCUCUACUCAACUUUCCAAGAGGAUCAACGGGUUGGGAUCCCCCCUCACUCUCCUCUCCACUCCUCAAGAAUGAUGAGGUGCCACCUCCACCAUGAAGGAUUCUCUGAUUUCACCAGCCAAAAGAUGCCUCCUCCUCAAGCUGCCCUAGAUUGCUUUUGUUUGGAUUUCUUCUUGACUGUCUACCUUGGGCCCAGUAGUGCUGUUUUGGGCAUCUCUCCUUGUUUCUCCAGCCUAGCCUGAUGCCUCCCACCCCCACCUUCAGAUUUAGUGUCAGUUCUAAGAUAGAAGAGUAGCAAGGGCUAGGCAAUGGGGUAAAGUGACUUGCCCAAGGUCACACCUCUAAGAAAUGUCUGAAGUCAAAUCUGAACCCAGGUCCUCCCUACUCCGGGUCUGGCUCUCUAUCCACAGUGCUAGCUAGCUGUCUCUACAUAUACCUUUCUUCGAUCCAGACUUGAUUUAUUCCUUGGGAGAGUGACCUCCCCAUCCCCCAACACAGCUGCCGGUAAUUUCGGGUCUCAGAAUAGCCCGCAGCCCCUGAGAGGCUAAAUGGUUUUCCCAGGGUCCCACGGUAGACCUAGAAUCCACCACCUGACCCCACUCUCCACUGCCGUCCGACUCCUAGUUUCUUCAUCUCAGCGCUUUGAGAUGAAUUUUACAGAUGAAAAAGCAGCCUGAAAAGGGAGCUAAGGGACAGCUCCUCCCCCCUCCCCGCCGGGCGGUCAGCCACUGGGCCGAAAAUGGGGCUCACUUCUUGG
rnacentral:lncRNA from 1 species